rnacentral:lncRNA from 1 species
UCAUCUUCAUCAUCAUCAUCAUCAUCACCAUCACCACCAUCACCAUCACCAGAUGGCCUGCCAAUUCGUCUAAGUGAAGUGGAGUAGUAUCACGCACUGAUUUUAACACUAUAGAAGUGCUUAGACGUCAGAAUAUAUCACCCCUCUCUCUAAGGCCUUCCCGACAUCACCAAGACAGAAGAUGUACAAAACAGGCCACUUACCCAUAGACUGUCGUCGAGGGAGCACGCGUCCUCUCGCUUGCUGAACCACAGGCCCUUGGUCCUUAACACCCUCCAUUAUGAGAUAACCAGCCGGGCCAAUAGAGAGAGAGAGAGAGAGGGGAGGAGCGAAGAGGGAGAAGGGGGGUGUAAAGGCAAGAAGAGGAAGGAGGUGAGAGAGGGUCUGUGAGAGGCAGAUGCUGGAAUCAUUUUACAAUG